CGGUACAUAGAAAUCUGACACUGCUGCUCCGAGGUAAAGAAUACCCAUACGUACCCAACACAAGGACACGCAACCCCAGGACGGGAUCUACAUUAGACGUGCGGAGGACGAAGCUGGCAUCCAGAACCCGAAGCAACCUCUUCCCUUUGUCGUCUUGCUUCUGUUGUUCAGGGGUCUCCCCCAGAAUCUAGAACUUCACGCACCCAGACGCUUCAAAGAAGAACCACACUUUUGGGCCACAGCACAGCUUCCAGAGCCUCAGAGGAUUUUCCUUGCACGGGACCCGCCCGCUCGCCAUGAUUUCAGCGUUGCCACAAGAUCCAAAGUAGAAACAGAGCAAAGCCAACUACCACUGGCUAGAAAGGGGUGUUACCACAUCUGGGGCCUCGCUUCGCUUGCCCCUGCGCGAGCUGCGGUGUGACGGCAGCACUUAUUAGGGAGGAGUCUCUCCAGGCUUCCCUAUCGACCAGCCCUGAAGCCCCACUGAUUACAGGCAAGCACCGGCGCAUGG